UAGGGAAUCUUCCACAAUGGACGCAAGUCUGAUGGAGCAACGCCGCGUGAGUGAAGAAGGUUUUCGGACCGUAAAGCUCUGUUGUUGGUGAAGAAGGAUAGAGGUAGUAACUGGCCUUUAUUUGACGGUAAUCAACCAGAAAGUCACGGCUAACUACGUGCCAGCAGCCGCGGUAAAUACGUAGGUGGCAAGCGUUGUCCGGAUUUAUUGGGCGUAAAGCGAGCGCAGGCGGAAGAAUAAGUCUGAUGUGAAAGCCCUCGGCUUAACCGAGGAAUUGCAUCGGAAACUGUUUUCUUGAGUGCAGAAGAGGAGAGUAGAACUCCAUGUGUAGCGGUGGAAUGCGUAGAUAUAUGGAAGAAUACCAGUGGCGAAGGCGGCUCUCUGGUCUGCAACUGACGCUGAGGCUCGAAAGCAUGGGUAGCGAACAGGAUUAGAUACCCUGGUAGUCCAUGCCGUAAACGAUGAGUGCUAAGUGUUGGGAGGCUUCCGCCUCUCAGUGCUGCAGCUAACGCAUUAAGCACUCCGCCUGGGGAGUACGACCGCAAGGUUGAAAC
rnacentral:rRNA from 1 species